UACGUAGGGUGCAAGCGUUGUCCGGAAUUAUUGGGCGUAAAGAGCUCGUAGGCGGUCUGUCGCGUCGGCUGUGAAAUCCCCGAGGCUCAACCUCGGGUCUGCAGUCGAUACGGGCAAACUGGAGUGUUGCAGGGGAGACUGGAAUUCCUGGUGUAGCGGUGAAAUGCGCAGAUAUCUGGAGGAACACCGGUGGCGAAGGCGGCAUUCUGGACCGAUAUUGACGCUGAGGAGCGAAAGCCAGGGGAGCAAAGCGGGG
rnacentral:rRNA from 1 species